CUUGGUCAUUUAGAGGAAGUAAAAGUCGUAACAAGGUUUCCGUAGGUGAACCUGCGGAAGGAUCAUUAAUGGGUUAACGCCUCCGGGCACAAUCCCCACCCUUUGUAACCGCGGCCCGGAUUCGGCGCCUGGCGGGGACCGCCCCCCGUUCGCGGGGGGUCCCCGCCUGCCGGAAUUAGCCAACCCUGCCUAGAAAAUUGAAGUCUGAGAACAAGUUAAAUUAAACAAAACUUUCAACAACGGAUCUCUUAGUUCUGGCAACGAUGAAGAACGCAGCGAAAUGCGAUAAGUAAUGUGAAUUGCAGAAUUCAGUGAAUCAUCGAAUCUUUGAACGCACAUUGCGCCCCGUGGUAUUCCGCGGGGCAUGCCUGUUCGAGCGUCAUUUCAACCCAUCAAGCUUCGGCUUGGACUUGGGGCCUGCGGUUUCGCAGCCUCUAAACUCAGUGGCGGUGCUAUCGAGCUCUGAGCGUAGUAAUUUUUCUCGCUAUAGAGUCUUGGUCGUUACUUGCCAGUAACCCCCCCUUUUUAUUUAUUUAUUAGGUUGACCUCGGAUCAGGUAGGGAUACCCGCUGAACUUAAGCAUAUCAAUAAGCGGAGGA
rnacentral:rRNA from 1 species